ACCUUACGAGGGCUAUUGAGUAUCGAUAGAGGAUCAUCCACUCUCGGCGUCAUGAGAGGAAUAUCCCAUAUGUUCUUGCUCAGACAAAUCCCUGGCUAGGGUCAUUCGGGUUGAGAGAGAAAGAGUUCUCCGGGAGAAUCCGAUUAGAGCGAGACUCGAGUAGAAACCGUAUGGGUCUGACAGCUUGUGAAUUACAUAGUCUUCUAAUGUAUUUUUCAUCCAAACAACUUGUGCACAGCAUGCACUUGCAGCAAUGUAUUCGGCUUCCGUCGUAGAUAGUGCAACUGAAUUUUGUUU
rnacentral:lncRNA from 1 species